GGCGGAGCCUAAACAGGGCCGCAUCAUCGUCUUUCACUAUACAGACGGCAAACUGCAGACGGUGGCAGAGAAGGAGGUUAAAGGUGCGGUUUACUCCAUGGUGGAGUUUAAUGGUAAACUGCUAGCCAGCAUCAACAGCACCGUGCGUCUGUACGAGUGGACGGCGGAGAAAGAGCUGAGGACGGAGUGUAAUCACUAUAAUAACAUCAUGGCCCUGUAUCUGAAGACUAAAGGUGACUUCAUCCUGGUGGGUGACCUGAUGCGCUCCGUGCUGCUGCUGGCCUACAAACCCAUGGAGGGCAGCUUCGA